UACGUAGGGUGCAAGCGUUAAUCGGAAUUACUGGGCGUAAAGCGUGCGCAGGCGGUGAUGUAAGACAGAUGUGAAAUCCCCGGGCUUAACCUGGGAACUGCAUUUGUGACUGCAUCGCUGGAGUGCGGCAGAGGGGAUGGAAUUCCGCGUGUAGCAGUGAAAUGCGUAGAUAUGCGGAGGAACACCGAUGGCGAAGGCAAUCCCCUGGGCCAAUACUGACGCUCAUGCACGAAAGCGUGGGGAGCAAACAGG
rnacentral:rRNA from 1 species